CCCUGUGAAUUCAGAACUGCUGCCUGCCUGUAAGGACUUCCAGUCCUGCAGAGUUUUACCUGAUGGCCUCAGUUUCUUCUGUGAAGUCAUGAUUGAGGUCAUAUGAGAUGAAUGGUGGGAGUAUUGGUUAAAUGGGAGACCAGAUAGUGUGACCAGUUAGAAACAGCUGCAAGAGAAAUAGUUCUCAAAUUUCCUCUCCCUUCCAUCCACAUUAUUGCUACCCUUGUGUGGAUCACUAUCUUUUCCUGCCUGGACUAUUGCAGUAGACAUCUAAUUCACUGGUUUUCAACCUUGGCUCCAGGACAUUGGAAUCUCCUGAUGGGGUAACACUGUGCCACUCCUUUGCUGAGAAUCCUCCAGUGACUGUUGUUCUCGCUCAGGAUGAAAUCCUUACUGUGGUCACAAGGUCCUGCAGGAUCUACCUCUCCUGCUCUCACUCUACUCCAGCCACACUGGCUGCCUGGCAGUUCCUCAAACAUUCAAUAAUAAUUAAACACUUGCUAUGAAAUAAGCAUGUGUUAUCUCACAUAGGUGUUUGUGUACCUGUUACUGUCUUUCCCACUUGUGAUCUUGAGGACACCAAAUUUAUCUUAAUUCUUGUUGGAUACAUUCAUCUUUGUAACCCUGGUACCUGGCACAGUGCCUGGCACAUUGUAGAUGUUUAAUGAAUGAAUGGGAAAAUGUAUAGUGGGAUAUCCCUGAAUGGAGAGAGACCUUGAAGAAAUGCACUGGUCCAACCACUCUGCAGAACUUGGAAGUGUUUCUCUACAGCCCUUGCCUUCCUGGAGCUCUGUCCAGACCCGUGACAAUCCUAAACAGAAGUCAAGGCCACAUGACUAAGACCAAAGCACAUGAGACCACCUACUCAUUGUAGGUGCUCCACAUUUGAGCUGGGUCUUGACAGAUGAGGAGGAUGCUCAGGCUGGGGCCCCACAAGCAUGAAGCUGAAGACAGGAGAGGCUUGGAGGCUGUCCACAUGCAGAGGCAUGUGGAAGGUCCCUUGGGCUGAGCCCCUGCUUUCCUGAAAACUCACUGUGUAGCAUAGAAUAACCCAUCCCCACUCUCUACCCUUUUUUCCCUUUCAUUGAUAAACAGGGAUGGGUGAAUUAGAUGGAAAGACUUCUGAGGGCCAUUCCUUCUUGAAUAUUCUAGGGUGCUACAAAAAUGGUUUGGGUCCAGGCUGAUGGGACCUGGAAGCUCAGCAGAGGAGUCUGGCUUCGGUCUUGUCAUCAGAACGGUUUCUAGGCAGAAAAGUUUGUCUUCAGAACUUGGUCCAUUUGAGGACCAGAAGCAAAACUUCCUUACUGCCCUCCAAACAGACCUUGAGGUUUUUGGAAAAUUAAUGAAGAACAAAGACUUCACUUGCAGGCGGUCUGGGGCACGUGGAGCUAAAGAGAGGUGGCUGUGGCAAAGGUGUUGUCCCCCCAGGGAGACUUGGGAAGGGGGCUUUUGUCUGUUUUUAGACUAGCCUCUCUCCCCGCCACACUCUCCCCAAAAAUUAUUAUAAAGAAUUAUUGCCAUUAGUACGUCUUUCCUACUGAAAGGAGAAAAUCGCCUCAUUCAUAAUUUAUACCCUCAAUUACUAUUAAUAAAGAAAUAUUUCAGCAGAAAA